rnacentral:rRNA from 1 species
AAAUGAAUAGACGGGGGCCCGCACAAGCAGUGGAGUAUGUGGUUUAAUUCGAAGCAACGCGAAGAACCUUACCAGGUCUUGACAUCCGACUAACGAGGCAGAGAUGCGUCAGGUGCCCUUCGGGGAAAGUCGAGACAGGUGGUGCAUGGUUGUCGUCAGCUCGUGUCGUGAGAUGUUGGGUUAAGUCCCGCAACGAGCGCAACCCUUGCCAUUAGUUGCUACGCAAGAGCACUCUAAUGGGACUGCCGUUGACAAAACGGAGGAAGGUGGGGACGACGUCAAAUCAUCAUGCCCCUUAUGACCUGGGCUACACACGUACUACAAUGGCCGUUAACAGAGGGAAGCGAAAGAGCGAUCUGGAGCAAACCCCCAAAAACGGUCUCAGUUCGGAUUGCAGGCUGCAACCCGCCUGUAUGAAGUCGGAAUUGCUAGUAAUCGCAGAUCAGCAUGCUGCGGUGAAUACGUUCCCGGGCCUUGUACACACCGCCCGU